GGGGAAUUGUUCGCAAUGGGCGCAAGCCUGACGACGCAACGCCGCGUGGAGGACGAAGAUCUUCGGGUCGUAAACUCCUGUCGAGCGGGACGAACACCCAUCCGGUGAAUAUCCGGGAGGGCUGACGGUACCGCUAAAGGAAGCCCCGGCUAACUCCGUGCCAGCAGCCGCGGUAAUACGGGGGGGGCAAGCGUUGUUCGGAAUUACUGGGCGUAAAGGGCGCGUAGGCGGCCUGUUAAGUCGAACGUGAAAUCCCCGGGCUCAACCCGGGAACUGCGUCCGAUACUGGCAGGCUUGAAUCCGGGAGAGGGAUGCGGAAUUCCAGGUGUAGCGGUGAAAUGCGUAGAUAUCUGGAGGAACACCGGUGGCGAAGGCGGCAUCCUGGACCGGCAUUGACGCUGAGGCGCGAAAGCCAGGGGAGCAAAC
rnacentral:rRNA from 1 species